GUAGGUGGCAAGCGUUGUCCGGAAUUAUUGGGCGUAAAGCGCGCGCAGGCGGGGUCCUUUAAGUCUGAUGUGAAAGCCCACGGGCUCAACCGUGGAGGGUCAUUGGAAACUGGGGGACUUGAGUACAGAAGAGGAAAGCGGAAUUCCAAGUGUAGCGGUGAAAUGCGUAGAGAUUUGGAGGAACACCAGUGGCGAAGGCGGCUUUCUGGUCUGUAACUGGCGCUGAGGCGCGAAAGCGUGGGGAGCAAACAGGAUUAGAUACCCUGGUAGUCCACGCCGUAAACGAUGAGUGCUAAGUGUUAGGGGGUUUCCGCCCCUUAGUGCUGCAGCUAACGCAUUAAGCACUCCGCCUGGGGAGUACGGCCGCAAAGGCUG
rnacentral:rRNA from 1 species